GGUCAAGCGAAUAAGCGCACACGGUGGAUGCCUUGGCGGUCAGAGGCGAUGAAGGACGUGGCAGCCUGCGAAAAGUAUCGGGGAGCUGGCAACAAGCUUUGAUCCGGUAAUGUCCGAAUGGGGAAACCCACCCGCUUGCGGGUAUCCUGCAGUGAAUACAUAGCUGCUGGAAGCGAACCUGGUGAACUGAAAUAUCUAAGUAACCAGAGGAAAAGAAAUCAACCGAGAUUCCGUAAGUAGCGACGAGCGAACGCGGACUAGCCCUUAAGCUGGAUUGGUUCUAGGAAAACGCUCUGGAAAGAGCGGCCAUAGAAGGUGAUAGCCCUGUAUCUGAAAGGGCCAUUCCAGUGAAGACGAGUAGGGCGGGGCACGUGAAACCCUGUCUGAACAUGGGGGGACCAUCCUCCAAGGCUAAAUACUACUGACCGACCGAUAGUGAACCAGUACCGUGAGGGAAAGGCGAAAAGAACCCCGGAGAGGGGAGUGAAAUAGAACCUGAAACCGUGUGCGUACAAGCAGUAGGAGCUCCGCAAGGAGUGACUGCGUACCUUUUGUAUAAUGGGUCAGCGACUUACUGUUCGUGGCAAGCUUAACCGUAUAGGGGAGGCGAAGGGAAACCGAGUCUGAUAAGGGCGCAUAGUCGCGGGCAGUAGACCCGAAACCGGGUGAUCUAGUCAUGCCCAGGGUGAAGGUGCGGUAACACGCACUGGAGGCCCGAACCCACUCCCGUUGCAAAGGUAGGGGAUGAGGUGUGAUUAGGAGUGAAAAGCUAAUCGAACCCGGAGAUAGCUGGUUCUCCUCGAAAGCUAUUUAGGUAGCGCCUCAUAUGUAUCCUCUCGGGGGUAGAGCACUGUUAUGGCUAGGGGGUCAUCGCGACUUACCAAACCAUUGCAAACUCCGAAUACCGAGACGGACUGUAUGGGAGACACACGGCGGGUGCUAACGUCCGUCGUGAAAAGGGAAACAACCCAGACCCACAGCUAAGGUCCCAAAUUUUGUGCUAAGUGGAAAACCAUGUGGAAAGGCACAGACAGCCAGGAGGUUGGCUUAGAAGCAGCCACCCUUUAAAGAAAGCGUAAUAGCUCACUGGUCGAGUCGGUCUGCGGGGAAGAUUUAACGGGGCUAAGCACAGAACCGAAGCUUGGGGUGCAUAACUUUGUUAUGCGCGGUAGAGGAGCGUUCCGUAAGCCGUUGAAGGUGGAUUGAGAAGUCUGCUGGAGGUAUCGGAAGUGCGAAUGCUGACAUGAGUAACGAUAAUGCGGGUGAAAAACCCGCACGCCGAAAGCCCAAGGUUUCCUUGCGCAACGUUAAUCGGCGCAGGGUGAGUCGGCCCCUAAGGCGAGGACGAAAGUCGUAGUCGAUGGGAAGCAGGUUAAUAUUCCUGCACCUCGCGUAAGUGCGAUGGAGGGACGGAGAAGGUUAGGUGUACCAGGCGUUGGUUGUCCUGGGGAAAGGCGGUAGGUUUGGAUCUUUGGCAAAUCCGGGAUCCUCUAAGACCGAGCACCGAGACAAGCCUUUAUGGCGAAGUCACUGAUACCACGCUUCCAGGAAAAGCUCCUAAGCUUCAGCUUACGCAGACCGUACCGUAAACCGACACAGGUGGGUAGGAUGAGAAUUCUCAGGCGCUUGAGAGAACUCGGGUGAAGGAACUAGGCAACAUGGCACCGUAACUUCGGGAGAAGGUGCACCCUUUUUGGUGGCUCGUGCGAGCUAUAGCUGAAGAGGGUCGCAGUAACCAGGCCGCUGCGACUGUUUAUCAAAAACACAGCACUCUGCAAACACGAAAGUGGACGUAUAGGGUGUGACGCCUGCCCGGUGCUGGAAGGUUAAUUGAUGGGGUCAGCCGCAAGGCGAAGCUCUUGAUCGAAGCCCCAGUAAACGGCGGCCGUAACUAUAACGGUCCUAAGGUAGCGAAAUUCCUUGUCGGGUAAGUUCCGACCUGCACGAAUGGCGUAACGACAGCGGCGCUGUCUCCACCCGAGACUCAGUGAAAUUGAAAUCGCUGUGAAGAUGCAGCGUUCCCGUGGCAAGACGGAAAGACCCCGUGAACCUUUACUAUAGCUUUACACUGAACGUUGAGUUCGUCUGUGUAGGAUAGGUGGGAGGCUAUGAAACCAUGGCGCUAGCUGUGGUGGAGCCAUCCUUGAAAUACCACCCUGUCGUGCUUGACGUUCUAACCUGGGCCCAUUAUCUGGGUCGGGGACCGUGUAUGGUGGGUAGUUUGACUGGGGCGGUCUCCUCCUAAAGAGUAACGGAGGAGCUCGAAGGUACGCUCAGCGCGGUCGGACAUCGCGCACUGUGUGCAAAGGCAUAAGCGUGCUUGACUGCAAGAUCGACGGAUCAAGCAGGUAGGAAACUAGGACUUAGUGAUCCGGUGGUUCUGUAUGGAAGGGCCAUCGCUCAACGGAUAAAAGGUACUCCGGGGAUAACAGGCUGAUACCGCCCAAGAGUUCAUAUCGACGGCGGUGUUUGGCACCUCGAUGUCGGCUCAUCACAUCCUGGGGCUGUAGUCGGUCCCAAGGGUAUGGCUGUUCGCCAUUUAAAGUGGUACGCGAGCUGGGUUCAGAACGUCGUGAGACAGUUCGGUCCCUAUCUGCCAUGGGCGUUGGAGAUUUGAGAGGGGCUGCUCCUAGUACGAGAGGACCGGAGUGGACGAACCUCUGGUGUUCCGGUUGUCACGCCAGUGGCAUUGCCGGGUAGCUAUGUUCGGAAGCGAUAACCGCUGAAAGCAUCUAAGCGGGAAGCGCGCCUCAAGAUGAGAUCUCCCGGGGCACAAGCCCGCUGAAGGAACCAUGUAGACUACGUGGUUGAUAGGUCAGGUGUGUAAGUACAGCAAUGUAUUGAGCUAACUGAUACUAAUGAUCCGUGCGGCUUGACCAU
rnacentral:rRNA from 1 species